rnacentral:rRNA from 1 species
AGCUCCAGUAGCGUAUAUUAAAGUUGUUGCAUUUAAAAAGCUCGUAGUUGGUGGUUCGCUUGGUGUCGCGGGUGCUAGUCACUUGUGGCUUCCAGGUGGUACUCGGUGGUGACGCCGUUUGCACCGUGAGAAAAUUAGAGUGAUCCAAACAGUCUGGGACUGAAUGCUUCAGCACGGCAUGGGGUUUUGAUUCCGCUUCUGGAGCACUUGUGUGAGGGUUGCGGGGUAAAGGUUAAUAGAGACAGACGAUGGGAUCCGUAUUGAGUUGCUAGAGGUGAAAUUCUUGGACCAACUCAAGACGCUCUGAAGCGAAAGCUCUUUCCACGCAUGUCCUUA